UACGUAGGGUCCAAGCGUUAUCCGGAAUCACUGGGCGUAAAGCGCACGUAGACGGCUUUGUAAGUUAGAGGUGAAAGCCUGGGGCUCAACCCCAGAAUUGCCUUUAAGACUGCAUCGCUUGAAUCCGGGAGAGGUGAGUGGAAUUCCGAGUGUAGAGGUGAAAUUCGUAGAUAUUCGGAAGAACACCAGUGGCGAAGGCGGC
rnacentral:rRNA from 1 species